UACGUAGGGUGCAAGCGUUGUCCGGAAUUAUUGGGCGUAAAGAGCUUGUAGGCGGUUUGUCGCGUCUGCUGUGAAAUUUCGGGGCUCAACCCCGAACUUGCAGUGGGUACGGGCAGACUAGAGUGUGGUAGGGGAGACUGGAAUUCCUGGUGUAGCGGUGAAAUGCGCAGAUAUCGGGAGGAACACCAGUGGCGAAGGCGAGUCUCUGGGAUGAUGCUGACGCUGAGGCGCGAAAGCCAGGGGAGCAAACGGG
rnacentral:rRNA from 1 species